UACGGCUGUAUCACAUUGAAACACCGGUCCCUGUACCAUCACCGAAGUUAAGCAACGUCGAGUCUGGUCACUACCUAGAUGAGUUACCACUUGGGAAUACUAGGUACUGUAAG